AUUGAACGCUGGCGGCAGGCCUAACACAUGCAAGUCGAGCGGAUGAGAGGAGCUUGCUCCUUGAUUUAGCGGCGGACGGGUGAGUAAUGCCUAGGAAUCUGCCUGGUAGUGGGGGAUAACGUUCCGAAAGGAACGCUAAUACCGCGUACGUCCUACGGGAGAAAGCAGGGGACCUUCGGGCCUUGCGCUAUCAGAUGAGCCUAGGUCGGAUUAGCUAGUUGGUGAGGUAAUGGCUCACCAAGGCGACGAUCCGUAACUGGUCUGAGAGGAUGAUCAGUCACACUGGAACUGAGACACGGUCCAGACUCCUACGGGAGGCAGCAGUGGGGAAUAUUGGACAAUGGGCGAAAGCCUGAUCCAGCCAUGCCGCGUGUGUGAAGAAGGUCUUCGGAUUGUAAAGCACUUUAAGUUGGGAGGAAGGGCAGUAAGUUAAUACCUUGCUGUUUUGACGUUACCGACAGAAUAAGCACCGGCUAACUUCGUGCCAGCCGCCGCAGUAACAC
rnacentral:rRNA from 1 species